UACAGAGGGGGCAAGCGUUGUUCGGAAUUACUGGGCGUAAAGGGCGCGUAGGCGGCCCGCUAAGUCGAACGUGAAAUCCCCGAGCUCAACUCGGGAACUGCGUCCGAUACUGGUGGGCUUGAAUCCGGGAGAGGGAUGCGGAAUUCCAGGUGUAGCGGUGAAAUGCGUAGAUAUCUGGAGGAACACCGGUGGCGAAGGCGGAUCUCUGGGCCAUUACUGACGCUGAGGAGCGAAAGCGUGGGGAGCAAACAGG
rnacentral:rRNA from 1 species